UACAUAUAGAGACUUCUCCUAAACAGUUUAUGAGAAUCGAUUAUAUCACGCACAAUGAAAUGAACAGCUACUUUAAAGAAAAGGAGCCAUUAAGGCACCCGGUGCUGAUUCUGUAGCAUCAUGCUAUGAAAUCCAGCAAUGCUGUUAUUCUUUCCUCAGAGUGAUGUGACUCUCUUUUGUAUUGUUUAAUUUCAGGAGACAUGCAGGGAGGGAAAGCUAAUUUGAAGAGAACACGAAGCAUGACAUGGCAGCCACUGUUGCCUUCCCUAUUAUUUGUUUUUGAAGUCCUAAAAUGCCUCCAUCAUCCUGUUCUGAUCAGUUUAAUACUAUUUUGUUUUGUAUGAAUUCAUUGCAUGUGAAGAUAUGGACACUAUUUAAAGGAAAACAAGAGACAAUAUGAUAGCCAGUGAAGAUCUCCUGUUGUCUUGCUUUGAAAUCUGUCUCUUACAUUGUUUUCUUCUGAUCUGUUUUGUUCUAAUUAAUUUUACCCUCUUUAAAAUAAAAUUUAAAUUUAAAUUUACUGACUGUUAAAAAUGUAUUUUUUUUUCAAUUCCAGAGUGGCUUCAACUUUAUCUCAAAAGAGAACACAGUCCUUCCAAAAAGAAAAUUAGCAAUAAGGAAGAAUAUUCUACCAAAAAAGGAAAGAUGAGUACUGUGUUGCCUGGACAAAUAGUAACUUCUGAAGGAUGUGCUCCCCAAAUGCAAGGCUGCAAAGAAAAGAAAAACAAAACAAAAAAAGAUACAAUAUUUGGGGCAUGUAAGAAGAGUAAAGCCAGCUGAAAUCGUUACAAGAUAGAUGUUGCUUAGACACAGAAAGCAAGUAGCACAGAUUGGAAGAAAGGGAUGGUGUUACCAGCAUGAAUUCUUUCAGAAUAAGAAACAGAGAAUUGAAGGGGUAUCGGACUUUCACCCUGGGGAGACAAUACGAUAUUGACACACGGGAGUCUGACUUAUGUCACCUAUGAGCAUGUUCUCUACUUGUAUCUAUUUACCUGUAAAAGUUUCAGGGUUAUUCUUCUUUAUUACUGAGUUGUACUCCACUGUAUGAAAACUACCGUUUGUUUUCCCAUUUUUAGAUGUUUAGGUUGUUUCAAGAUUUAGCUAUUACAAACUGUGCUGCUAUAAACAUGGGUGCAUAUGUAUUCCUGUGAUAUGAUGUUUUUAAUUUUUCUGGGAGAAAGUCCAGAAGGAGAAUAACUGGGUCAAAAUUUAAUAUAUUAAUAUAGUGCCAAUAAAUUAACAAUUUGCAAGUAUAUGAAAUGAGAGGGCUCAUUUAUAUAUGUACGUGAUCAUUUCACAUAUAUUUUGCUGAUAUAGAUGAUUUUAAGUACCAAUUAGCAUAAUUCCUUCUUUCAGUAUGAGUAAAGAAAUUAUUUUAUGAGAAUUGAUGCUACGUAGUAACUGUAUCAAAAUUAUUUAAAUAUUGAAGGCUUGUUUAUACAGAACAAAGAAUAAAUCAAAUAGCAUGCCAAUACCUAUUUGAAGAAAAGAUAAAAAUCUUUACAGUAAAACCCAAAUAGAUCAGUAUAGUAAUAGCAAAUGUCAAAAGACGAUUUUAUGGUUUUAUACAUGUUUUUCAAUUCAAGUAUACCUUAAAUAACCCUAACAUAAUUAAAUAACUGUAAAAUGUAGUAACUCAUUGCUAUAUAAUUUGAAAAGAUUUAGAGAUUCUGAGAUUAAUUUAACAAUUUCACAUAAAUAAUAAGGCUGAAAAUGUAAAACUUGCUGGACUUUUUUCUAUUUUCAUAUUCCUGUAAUAAUUUCUUUUUAUGUAGCUUUGCUUUGACUAAUCUAAUAUUUUCAUUUGGCUGUUUAGAAAAACUAUAGUUUUGUGUGGCAAACAAAUUUAUAGAAUCUUAUCAAACGUGUGAAGAUUUCAUCUAUAUUAUGAAUCUUCUACAUAAUAAAAUCUGAUAUUUUAGGAAGAACUGUUCUGGAACAUUAGAAAAACACUGGUGUACUGAACACUCAACUAGAUCCGUUUUAAAAACAUAUUUUCAUGGUAGAGAGAGUAAGUACUGGGGCAGUCAUAUUAGAAUUCCCACUGUUUAUGACCUUGGGUAUCACAGAACUUAUUAAUUAGACAUCUUGUGUAUUCUGGGACAAUUUGGGCUAAUGGAGGGAACUUUUAACAGAAAAACAAGAAUUAGGCUUUUUAUCCUAUUUCUAGCAUGUAGAUUAAUUAGUCAUAUAAAAACAAAGAACAGGAGAAAUUUUUUCCUUUUAAAAUAGCUCACAUAUUGAGAAAAAAAAAAACAGAAACAGCACUGUUGUUAUUAAAAUCAUAU